rnacentral:rRNA from 1 species
GACGAAGGGGGCUAGCGUUGUUCGGAAUUACUGGGCGUAAAGCGCGUGUAGGCGGUUGCCCAAGUCGGGUGUGAAAGCCUUGAGCUCAACUCAAGAAAUGCACUCGGUACUGGGUGACUAGAGGACCGGAGAGGAUAGUGGAAUUCCCAGUGUAGUGGUAGAAAUACGUAGAGAUUGGGAAGAACACCAGUGGCGAAGGCGGCUAUCUGGACGGUUUCUGACGCUAAGACGCGAAAGCGUGGGGAGCAAACAGG